rnacentral:rRNA from 1 species
UACGGAGGAGGCAAGCGUUAUUCGGAAUUAUUGGGCGUAAAGCGUCCGCAGGUGGCACUUCAAGUCUGUCGUCAAAGACUGGGGCUUAACCCUGGAAAGGCGGUGGAAACUGAAGCGCUAGAGUGCGGUAGGGGUAGAGGGAAUUCCCGGUGUAGCGGUGAAAUGCGUAGAGAUCGGGAGGAACACCAGUGGCGAAGGCGGCACCCUGGACCAGCACUGACACUGAGGCACGAAAGCGUGGGGAGCAAACAGG